GCGCUAGUGGUCCAGUGGUUAAGAUCUCAGCUUCCCAAGCUGAUUACCCGGGUUCAACUCCCGGCUGGCGCA
rnacentral:tRNA from 1 species